GGUAGUGUAGUUAACACCUGCAUUAUUUGACGUUACCUACAGAAGAAGCACCGGCUAACUCCGUGCCAGCAGCCGCGGUAAUACGGAGGGUGCGAGCGUUAAUCGGAAUUACUGGGCGUAAAGACGCAUGCAGGCGGCCUGUUAAGUCAGAUGUGAAAGACCCGGGGCGUUAACCUCGGAAUUGCAUUUGUAAACUAGGCAGGCUAGAGUCUUGUAGAGGGGGGUAGGAAGUUUCUAGGUGUAGCGGUGAAAUAGCGUAGAGAUCUGAAGGAAUACCAGUGGCGAAGGCGGCCCCCUGGACAAAGACUGACGCUCAGAUGCGAAAGCGUGGGGAGCAAACAGGAUUAGAUACCCUGGUAG
rnacentral:rRNA from 1 species